rnacentral:rRNA from 1 species
GACGAACGCUGGCGGCGUGCUUAACACAUGCAAGUCGAGCGGAGCGGCGAACGGGUGAGUAACGCGUGAGUAACUGCCCCCCUCUCUGGGAUAAGAGUUGGAAACGGCUGCUAAUACCGGGUAGUGGGGGAUGACUCGCGUCCUAUCGGCGUGUUGGUUGGGUAGUGGCCUACCCAGGCGACGACGGUUCGCCGGCCUGAGAGGGCGACCGGCCACAUUGGGCUGAGAUACGGACCAAACUCCUACCGGAGGCAACAGUGGGGAAUAUUGCACAGUGGGGGAGAGCGUGAUGCAGAGACGCCGCGUGCGGAAGGACGGCCUUCGGGUUGUAAACCGCUUUCAGCCAUGACGCGGUAGUGGCAGAAGAAGCACCGGCUAACUACGUGCCAGCAGCCGCGGUAAUAC